AGAAAGAGGAAAAGAAUAGCAGGCAAGUUCAAUUCAUGGCUCAAGAUUACAAAACAGGACACACAGGUGGAAGGAAAGAGCUUCUCUAAGGACCCUCUGUUGAGAGAAUACAUUCCAUUUUUAAUCGUUUAUGCAACAAAAAAAAAUAAAAAAAUGACAUGGCGCGGCAGGUUCCCUCACAGCUCCCAACAAGGUCGCUUGCGACAAAUCCACGAAAAAGUCGCCGCAUUUAAAUAACGGAGAGGAAGUUUGGGGCAGUGACGGAAUUAUUUUCAUUGUUUCAACGAGAAGGAAUGCAGAAAUAAGAGCAGGAAUCCGCCGCUCGCCGCCGGCCCCUGGCACAAAGCGUGCGGCAGCGGCGGCAGCAGCGAGGCGCUGCCUCCCCGCCCCCUCCGCCAGCCCCGCCGAUGGAGAAAAACCCCCGAGUGGCCAAAAAAGCAGGUAAAAAACGGUAAAAACUCACCGUUGGGAAGCGGGGCAGGCUCCGGUCACGGCGCUGGGAAGGGCCGGGCAGUGCCCGCAGCGGGCGGGGUGCCCGGCGGGCUUUGACACCCGAGCGGUGCGGGUGUGCGCAGCUGGGCGAGCCGCUGGCGGUCUUAAACAUCAUCUUUUCUUUUUUUUUUUGUUAAAAAAAUAUAGGGAAUAUAGGGAAAAGCGAGAAAAAAAAAUUAAAAAAAAAAGAGGUUGGGGGGGGGGGGGUUGGUUGGUUGGUGGGGGGGUGGGGGGAGGAAAGGAAAAGGAACCGAAUUCCUCCGCAGCUCCGCUCGCUGCCGCCCUCCGCGCUCCCCGGCAAUGCCGCCGCCGCCGCCGCUGUUGUUAUUAUUAUUAUGAUGAAGAGACGGGGCUGCUGGGGGGCUGCGGGAGCCGGGGCCAGCCCGGUGCCGGAGCGAGCCCCAGACUGUCAGCGGGGAGGAGGAGGAGGAGGAGGAGGAGGAGGAGGUGGUGGAGGAGGAGGAGGAGGAGGAGGAGGAGGAGGAGGGAGGAAGGGCGCGGGCAGCAGCAGCAGCGCCGCAGCCCCGGCCGCCCUCCCCUGCCAGCCGCCGGCCGGGGCUUCAAAGGAAAACCUGGAGAAAAAGCGGCUGGCCCGGGAGAGGAGGGUGCGAGCACACACAGCACACGGCACACACACACAAAGGGACUCCAUCCUGCACCGACUCCUCUCCCCGAGCACCUUGUGCACCCCCAGCCAAUGGAAAUUUACGCCGGCCAUAACCCAGAGCAGGAUCUCGUCCCCAGCUUGCCACCUCCUUCCCUCCGCUCUUCUCCCCCUUCCCUCCCUCCCUUUCCUCCCUCUUUCCCCCCCCACCCCCCCGCCCAAAUAAAUAAUACGGAUCCGCACCCUCCACCCAGCUCUGGAACCGCUUUAGGCCCAGCGGCAUAAGCGGGGAGAGGCGAAACGUACCGGAGGGCCGAGGUUAAAAAUGCAGAAUAUCCGGCGCUGCCGAGGGCAGGUCCCCCCCGGCCCGGCCCCGCCGCCGCCCGGCCGGGGGCAGCGGUAACAGGCACCAUUACGGAACCAUCAUCAUCAUCAUCAUCAUCAUCAUUCACUCCGUCCUUUUCUCACCUCAGGAGUCUGAGCCCAUUCACCAAAGUCCUUCCUCGUCCAGGAGCUCAAAUAUUUUCUCUUUUUUUUUUUCUUUUUUUUUUUUUUUUUCUCCUUCUGGAUCAGCCAGUCCCGACAUCAUUAAACUAUAGUCCUCCUCUUCCUCCUCCUUCCUUCUCCCCCUCUCUGUCUCCCCCUCUCUUUUUUUUUUCUUUUUAUUUCAAAAAAGGGGGAGUGGGGGGGUGGCUGGGGGGUGUGGGGGGGAAGCAGACAUAGCUGCAUGAAGUGGCUGCCUUUUCGAAAGCACAUUUAAUCUUUCCUGGCUCCCCUAGGCUUCGAUGAAUUAGAAGGGAAAGGAGAGGAGAGGGGGAAAGAAAAAAUCCAGGCAAGGGAGGCUGUUGAGGGACAGCAAGCAUCAGGCUCAAAUCAACGACCAGAUGAAAAUGUACUAGACCACACUGCCCCCUCUCUUCCUCUCGCUCUGUCUCCUCUCUCACACACUCUCACUCCUGGAAAGCUUCAGUGUCUGGUUACAGACUCUUUUGGAUCCUUCCCCCCCGCUCCCCACCCUCGCCCUUUGCCAACUAUCCUAGAGAUUCCUUGCAUGCCUACUUAAAUCUUUAACAGAAUAAGGACCCGGCUCCCCCCGCCGCCAGCCCCGCAUCACUCGCACACUCUCACACACUCUCACACACACUCACACACACUCACACACACUCACACACUCUCACACACACUCACACACUCCACUGCCGGUCACCCUUCCCAAUAAUAAUCUCUUAAGCUGCCGGCACAAUCCCGCCGGCGCAUCCCCGGCCCCGCCGCAUCCCCGCCGGGUACCAUCCCCGGCACCCUCCGGGCGGCCGCUCCCGCUUCCCUCCGCCUUCCCGAGGGGGUGCAGGGGGCUGGAGAGGGGAGCAGCCCUUCUCCUGGCAUCCCUGCGGCUGGCGGUGGGUUUUAAAACAAUAAAAGCCGGCGCUGGCUCUCGCGGGUGCCCCCGCUCCCCCCCGCCGCAGCCGCCCGUGGAAAUCGCACGCCCCACGUCUGCAGUGAGCAGGCAGACUGCCUCAUGCCCGUGAUGACUUUAGAGCUGACAACCUCCUCUCCUCGACCCCCCCUUCCCCUCCACACCCACCCCUGCGCUCAAUGGCAGCGCUGCUGCCUCUCGCACCAGACUAUAUUUGCAAUAUGUGCUAAUUUACCAGCUAUAUGCCCUUGGAUUUUAAAAUGAACUCAUCAGUCAAUGUUUCUAGUAGCGAUGCUCCCUCUCUCUGCCUCUCACACACCCUCCACUGCAGACAUGUUACUCAUUCUGCAAGCAUUUCCUCCCCGAAUGUCCGUCAGACGCAUAUACACUUCAUUGAUCAAACCAAAUCCCCUGAUAACAAUAAAUAAUAAUACAGACAGUUAACAUCAGCGGGGAGUGGAGCGGGGGGGCGCGGGGGGAGAGACAAAGAUGACGACUAAAUCUGCAUUGUGCUUCAGGAGGCUGAGCCCUGCCUUUCCCAGGGAUGCUCCGCACAAUGCGGGGCGCAGGUAGCCCCAAAACCUCACCCCGGGGCCUUCCCCAGCCCCCCGUUUGCCCAAACCUUGGGGAUGGUGAUGUUUAAUACCUGAACCCACACAGGCUUCAAAAGGUGUUUGUAGGAACAGAAAGUGGAUGUGGCUGUGGAGGAGAGGAAGCACCUCACGCAAAAUCCAGCAAUAAAUCCAGGCAGUUUCUUUGUUACGCCGAGCACCGCACAGACGCUCAGGAAUUAAAGGUAUCCGUGCACCCAAAGACACAGGGAUUUCCAGAAACACCUUUCAGCUCCCCCUGAAAUCCCUUUCCUUUGUACUGAAGGCAGGGAUCACCUAUGCAAGACACCAGGUUGGGAAGAAGGGCUGUUAAACAUCCCUCUGCCUGAUAUUUCAGGGGCUUUAGGGCUGCUGUGCCUUCAUUUCCCAGUUUUCUGGGGCUGAAGCAGGGGAGGCAGGAAUUUGGGAUUGCCCUUUGGGAUUUUGGCUGGUUACACAGCUUGUGUGGGUCUGGCAAGGAGAAAGUGGCUGCAGUGUGAGCGUUCGGGAAGUUGGGCAGGGUGGGGCUAUCUAGAAAUCUUUGACUCACUGGGGUAACUCCCUGAGCACAGGAAUGAAAUUAUUGCUCCAAGCAAACUGCGUUUUAUGAGCAGCAGCCUCAGAAUGAAAUUCUGCAUGCGCACAGAGCUGGGGACAGCUAAAAUGAACGCAUGGAAACAAAUAUAUAGCCCGUAAUUAAAUUAUUGGGUGCAAUGCAGAAGUCUCUGGGUGAUGGAAGAGGUGGGAUUAUGCAGCAAAGUCAGUUUAGGAAUGCACGGGUACAAAUUUUCUUAUUUAUACCGCCAUAAUCCUGAGUGGCAUCAGCCUAGAUAAGGGAAGAAUCAAACCUGUGUAGUGAAGGAUCUAAUCUUUGGGAAAAGUAGUCUGGAUUAGUGACUGUAUCUGCCAGCCACCCUUUCACUCCCUUUAGAGUCCCUCACCACCACUGCAAUUUUUUGCCAUCACGCAGAGCAUUUCACAUCCAUUGUCUCCUGAUCUUCCUUCCCAAUAAAAAAUGUUUGAUUUUUUUUUUUCCCAAAGUUUUGUAGCAAACAUACAAUUUCUUUAUACACUUUAGCCAAGCCUUUGGAGGAUACUUAUUUCAAGCAGUUAACACCUGACCCCAAUUUUUGUGGGUAAUUAGUGAGCUAGAUAACCACACAAAGUGGGUAAUUAUUUAGUACCCAAGGGUACUGUACAAGAGGGUAGAGGCUGACGGUGUUAACAAAAGCACAUCCCUAAUUAUUGUAUCCAUCCUGAUGUUUUUAAGAAUGGUUACUUCCACCUAAUGAUCCAUGAUAAAUCAGAAAACUCUUCUGCCUCCCUUGGAUGGGAUAACCAAGGGCAGGAAGGGAGGGCAAAGCCAACGGAAGGCACAACUUCAAUUUGUGCGAGCUCCAAGGGAAAAGAGAGGAAUCCCCUUGGAUAAGGCAAUGAUAACCAUCCCUAAAAGCCAUCAGGCAGGUGUCAGAGGAGGGUGCCAGACUGCUUUGGUGAGAGGAAAAGGAGCAACAGCCACAAAGGAAAAUUCAACAAGUUCCAUCUCAACCCUGAGGCUGCCCUGGGAGGUUUUUGGGUUCUCCCUGCCUGGAGCCAUCCUGGAUGUGUCCCUGUGUCCCUGCUGCAGGUGACCCUGCCUGGGGCUGGGGGAUCUCCAGAGCUCCAAAUGCUCUGGGAUUCUGAGAAAAAAAAUAAAAAAUUGGUUUAAUCAGCAGCAGCAGGUGAUAAAGAAGUAUUAGCUGGAAACAGAUCCAAAGCCUGGAACACAGAGCCCCCAUCCCCUGAGCACUUCACACUCACUUAAGGACAUCCUCAACCAAGACAUUCUGCUCAGAGGAAAAGCACUUUCCUCUUUUAAUUGCUUUUAUGAAUCACCACCGAGGUCCAGACACUUCAUUUACUGGACUCCAGCAACCCUGUUUGCAAAAACUCAAAUUCCAAAAUGUUAAAGGCCUCCAGGCUGGCAAAAAUAAUAAAAUAAAAAAAUAAUAAUAAAAUUAAAAUAAUAAAAAAAAUAGAGGUGUCAUUCUGUGUGGUUUGAUCCCAACUUUGCAUUUAACUCAACUUGCUGCUCUGGGCCAGGCACUACACAAAAACCCCACAACUGGCAGCAUCACCUGGCCCUGUGACCACCAGGAAUUCAGAAUUUAAACAGAGAAAGUUUGAGGGGUUUCCACAACUUCUCAUAUAUCUCUGUUGUUCUGUGGUUUGUCUUUUUUUUUUUUUUUUUUCUGGAGUGAAAUAACCACAACAGAAAGAGGCCUGAAAAUUGUUCUCAUAUUUAAAAAGGGGCCAAGUCUCUGCAGUCCAUUUGUAAAUAAAUAUAAAUAAAAUUGGUAUCCCCUCCACUAAUGCUCUCAGGGAUGUGGUUUGCAGGAAAUUCUUGCAGAAAUGGAGUGAAAGUUUGCAGAGAGAAGCUGGAAAACAGAAAGGAAGAAUGAAUUUAAUCAUGGAGACAGGAUCAAAGGAAGGAGAGUCCUUGGUAGGUGCUGUUGUAGCAGAAAGUAGAAUAAAUACAAACUAUUACAAUUUUUUUCCCCCUCAGAUCAAUUGGAAUUAGCAAUUCAAAGGGGAAGACACAGGAGAAGGGAUGUUCAGCAGGGAGGAAGCUUUAGGGACUUCAGCAUUAACUCUAAAACCUUGAGGCCUUUCUGAGACCAGUCAAUAACUUCACUCUGAGCCAAGUGGACAGAGAUCAUUUAGGAAAUAUCUUUAAAAUAACGCUUAGAGCUCAGCUGUAAGGACAGCAUACAUGAGAAUAGUCUCCAAAUUAAUAAAAUGUCUUCGGUAAUAGAAAUCAAGAAUUCGAAUGAUGUGAGGAAAGGUAAAAUUCAGAGUGGAAAGCAAAACUGGGCGAAGUUGUCAUGAUUUAGCCAUUUCCAGAAUGGUGCUCUUGACAACCAAAAGCUUCUCAUUGGAGGCUCACUGUUUUGCAGAGCAGUUGCACAGCAAAUCACUGAUAAAAUCAACAUUCUGUAAAAAUACAGAACCAUCAGGACAACACUUACCACAUCCCUGGUGGGUUGUGGAUCCUUGGAAGAAGCUUCAGUGUCCAGAUUGAUUUUGUCACCCUCGUCUCAUCCCCUGGCAUUCAACAGAGAGGACAGAGCGUGGUUCAGAAUCAUCCCAGGUCCAUUUCAGCACCACCAAAUCCUUUUCACCCAGCAACUUUCCCCUCCAAACCAGCAGAUUUUGCCUCCCCCAAGCAUUAAAAAGUGGUGGUUGGAUUUUCCCCCCACCCUUCAGUUCUGCCAACAGGUUCUCCUUGAGCCUCAACUCCACCCCUCCCUGGAUAACGGGGAAAAAUUGACAUAAUAAAGGUGAGAAAGCCAUAAAAUGAUUGGAUCUUAAGCAAGGGAAAAGGAAAGUGAGGCAGUGGGAAAAGACCUGGGACUCUGCACUCACUGAAACCAGGAUUAGGGAAAAGGGAAGAAUUCAACAAAAGGUCAGCCAAUAUCACAGAGGGAUUUGGAGAGAAAGGUCACAAAGACUGAUUCAUCCAAAAUCAGAGAGGUGGAAACACCGUACCCCGAAUUUCUGUUUUGUCUGCCCUGAUCCCGAGUUCUCCUAAAACCAGAUGGAUUUAACCAAUUUGAAAUUCAAGGUGAACCCCAAAAUUACAUGGAUGAAGCCACACAAAGAAUGAUUACAUCACUCUGGCAUGAUCUGCCAAUUCCAUCUCACAUAAAGCACCCAAACCCCUCAGAUUUCACGUGGGUUCAGGGCCACCAAAAGUUUAAGACGCGAUUAAUUCAGAACACAAAAAAAUCUCCAAGAAGCUCACUUUUAUUUCUCUUAUUAUAAUUAUUAUUAUUCUCUUAUUUCACUCUUAAGCUCAAUCUUAUUUAAUAAAUCUAACCUGUUUUGGGGAUAUAAUUUCUUAAGAUUUGAGGUUUCACCCUGAAAUCUGGCAAAAUUUUGAAAUACAUCAGUUACUAAGAGAUGGAGCUGUAGGAAUAUGUUACCCUACAAGGCUGACACA